GACGAAGGAUGCAAGCGUUAUCCGGAUUCAUUGGGUUUAAAGGGAGCGUAGGCGGCCUUGUAAGUCAGUGGUGAAAUCUCUGGGCUUAACCCAGAAAUUGCCAUUGAUACUGCAGGGCUUGAGUACAGUUGCCGUUGGCGGAAUAUGACAUGUAGUGGUGAAAAUACAUAGAGAUGUCAUAGAACACCGAUUGCGAAGGCAGCUAACGAAACUGUAACUGACGCUGAGGCUCGAAAGUGUGGGGGAUCAAACAGG
rnacentral:rRNA from 1 species